rnacentral:rRNA from 1 species
UACGUAGGUGACAAGCGUUGUCCGGAUUUACUGGGCGUAAAGAGCGCGCAGGCGGUCGAUCAAGUCGAGUGUGAAAGCCCCCGGCUCAACUGGGGAGGGUCAUUCGAUACUGAUCGACUCGAAGGCAGGAGAGGGUAGUGGAAUUCCCGGUGUAGUGGUGAAAUGCGCAGAUAUCGGGAGGAACACCGGUGGCGAAGGCGGUUCUCUGGGCCUGUGCUGACGCUGAGGAGCGAAAGCGUGGGGAGCGAACAGG